AGGUGAACCGGAGUGGUGAGCGUAGCCAUGAAGGGAAGCCCCGGUGAACGGCGGCCGUAACUAUAACGGUCCUAAGGUAGCGAAAUUCCUUGUCGGGUAAGUUCCGACCCGCACGAAGGGAGUAACGACUUGAGCACUGUCUCGACAGGGGGCUCGGCGAAAUUGAAGUACCCGUGAAGAUACGGGUUACCCACGACAGGACAAAAAGACCCCGUGGAGCUUUACUACACCUUGGCCUGGAAACGAGGCGAUGGCUACGUAGCAUAGGUGGGAGCCAGAGAACCCCUCCUCGCGGGGAGGGGGGAGGCAACGGUGAAAUACCACUUUGCCAUGGUUUCUUUUCUCAUGCCUGACCGUGAUCCGGCAGGCAGACAGGGCCAGGCGGGUAGUUUGACUGGGGCGGUCGCCUCCUAAAAAGUAACGGAGGCGCUCAAAGGUUCUCUCAGGGUGGAUGGACAUCACCCAUAUAGAGUGUAAAGGCACAAGAGAGCUUGACUGCGAGGCGGACAGGCCGAGCAGGGACGCAAGUCGGACUUAGUGAUCCCACAUUCCCGUGUGGAAGGAGUGUGGCUCAACGGAUAAAAGCUACCCCGGGGAUAACAGGCUUAUCUUGCCCAAGAGUUCACAUCGACGGCAAGGUUUGGCACCUCGAUGUCGGCUCGUCGCAUCCUGGGGCUGGAGUCGGUCCCAAGGGUUGGGCUGUUCGCCCAUGAAAGCGGCACGCGAGCUGGGUUCAGAACGUCGCGAGACAGUUCGGUCUCUAUCCGUCGUGGGCGUAGGAAGAUUGCGAGCCGUCAUCUCCAGUACGAGAGGACCGAGAUGGCUCGACCGCUGGUGAGCCAGUUGCUCUGCCCGGAGCACGGCUGGAUAGCUAUGUCGAGAAAGGAUAAGCGCUGAAGGCAUCUAAGCGCGAAGCCGCCCUCCAGAUGAGUCUUCCCACUUGUGCGCAAGUGAAGAUCCCGGGUAGACCACCCGGUGGAUAGACCACGCAUGCACGCCUGGUAACAGGUGCAGUUAAGUGGCCCUAAUGAUCGAACGGCUUGUC
rnacentral:rRNA from 1 species